GUUUGUUUUUUUUUUUUGAGUGUUUCUCAUGGUAUUCAUGUUGUUUGGGUGGCGUGGGACUCGUGCGUGGCCUUUGUUGUCCACCUCUUCUUUGUUUCUUUCUCUUGUCUGUCUCGUGUUUCUGUUUGGGUUUUGUUUUGUUUUUUCUUCUACUGAUUUUGUGAGGCCUCUUUUGUAUCCGUGUGUUUUGCCUAUUUUGUAUGUGUGCUCAAGUUCUUCUUUGGGCUUCUGAUCUGUCGUGCAGUAUUUGUGUGCUCUUCUGGAGGGUGCUCGAAGUGCGGCCUUUUUGUUCGGUGGUGGGUCUGGGGACCGGUUUGGUGUGGCGACCGGUUGGUGUGGUGGUUUUCUGUGGACCGCUGUUGUUGGGGUGUUGUUGUUGAUAGUUGUUUCGAUGUCGAGAUGUCC
rnacentral:lncRNA from 1 species